ensembl:ncRNA T22B7.15 ncRNA
AAACGAGGUUGAGUAGGUGCAUUGUGUCAACUAAAAGAAACAUUAUGGAAUUGUUGCAAGUGGUUCUCGACCUAUUACCAUUUCGCGUUCUUUGGAAAACUUUUGCGCCAUUGGUCAACACAUCCAGUUCUGAAGAAGCGCGGGUCCCCACCGUGUCUCUCCGACAACACACCACCACCACCCACUUUGCAGAGAAGAGGGCACAGUGUGUAACUUAUUGUGAGACGAUUCAGAGGACAAACAAAUUGCGUGGUCAGUUUUGUUUUCAGGUGGGGUGGUCACUCUCUUUCAUUCUCUUCAUUGUGUGAUGGAACACAACUACCUUGAACC